UGGAGCACUUUAGCCUGUGGCAGUGAGGCUUGCAGGUUCUGACUGCUGGGAUUGGCGAUUUCCCUCUGGCUAGAGCUUGUUUAUAUGCUCCUUCCAUUGAUGGGCAUCAGCUGAGUUUUGUUCCAUUUUGUUUUCUGCUCUAACAGGGCAGCACUGAGUUCAAUGCCUCACAGUUGUUGCACUUUGCCUCUCUCCAGUGCACAGAAUCACUCUCCGCACCAUGCCACAGCUGCUUGGGAAUGGGGGAGGGAUGGUGUUUGUGAUUCAAGACUGUUUUUCCUACCUCUUCAAUGCCUCUUUCAGCAAUAUGAAGUUAAAACCAGACCACUUUCAUUACAUCGCCACUGCGAAUACCACCUGUACUGUGUCAAGUACAAAAAAAACUCCAGACUUGGCCCAGUCCGGAGGCACAAGCCCACUUGCGCCAGCAGCGCGCCUCAGCAAGACAGCAGAAGCAGGAAGAGAGCCGGCCGGAAGACACUUACCCUGGCCGGAAGACAUGUACCCCUGAGGAUCGCGAGAGGCCAUCCGGUUGCUGCGUAGCAGUCCCGUCAGACUGGAACACUUCCUGUUUACAGGACACUGUAAAACCCCUGCUCAGCACUCAUUUGGUGCUGACGCCAUUUUAGGUCUCAUACCGUCUGCACCCAGGCGCCCAAUAAAACAGCAUGUUGCUCCACA
rnacentral:lncRNA from 1 species